GAUGAGAACGUAGCGAAAUGCGAUAAGUAAUGCGAAUUGCAGAAUUCCAGUGAGUCAUCGAAUCUUUGAACGCACAUUGCGCCCUUUGGUAUUCCGAAGGGCAUGCCUGUUCGAGCGUCAUUAUCACCCCUCAAGCCCUCGGCUUGGUGUUGGACGGUUUGGUGGAGGCCCCCUCGGGGGCUCCUGCCCCUCCCAAAGACAAUGACGGCGGCCUCGUUGGACCCCCGGUACACUGAGUUCUUCACGGGACACGUAUCGGACACAUGGGUUUACGGGACACGGUCUGCCUCCCCUCAGGGAGAAUCUUUCUAAGGUUGACCUCGGAUCAGGUAGGGAUACCCGCUGAACUUAAGCAUAUCAAUAAGCGGAGGA
rnacentral:misc_RNA from 1 species